rnacentral:rRNA from 1 species
UACGUAGGGUGCGAGCGUUAAUCGGAAUUACUGGGCGUAAAGCGUGCGCAGGCGGUUCGUUAAGUCAGAUGUGAAAGCCCCGGGCUCAACCUGGGAACUGCAUUUGAAACUGGCGGGCUUGAGUAUGGCAGAGGGGGGUGGAAUUCCGCGUGUAGCGGUGAAAUGCGUAGAGAUGUGGAGGAACACCGAUGGCGAAGGCAGCCUUCUGGGCCAACACUGACGCUCAUGCACGAAAGCGUGGGGAGCAAACAGG